GAACGCACAUUGCGCCCUGUGGUAUUCCGCAGGGCAUGCCUGUUCGAGCGUCAUUUCAACCCUCAAGCUCUGCUUGGUGUUGGGCCCCGCCCGCUCGCGGCCGGCCCUAAAGACAGUGGCGGCAGCGUCUGGCUCCAAGCGUAGUACAAUCCUCGCUCUGGUGCUAGGCGGUGGCCUGCCAGAACCCCCCUUCUAUGGUUGACCUCGGAUCAGGUAGGGAUACCCGCUGAACUUA
rnacentral:misc_RNA from 1 species